rnacentral:rRNA from 1 species
GUUUCCUACGGGGGGCAGCAGUGGGGAAUAUUGCACAAUGGGGGAAACCCUGAUGCAGCGAUGCCGCGUGGAGGAAGAAGGUUUUCGGAUUGUAAACUCCUUUUAUCAGGGACGAUAAUGACGGUACCUGAAGAAAAAGCUCCGGCUAACUACGUGCCAGCAGCCGCGGUAAUACGUAGGGGGCAAGCGUUAUCCGGAUUUACUGGGUGUAAAGGGAGCGUAGACGGCAGCGCAAGUCUGGAGUGAAAUGCCGGGGCCCAACCCCGGAACUGCUUUGGAAACUGUGCAGCUCGAGUGCAGGAGAG